rnacentral:lncRNA from 1 species
AAUACAUGAAAGCAUCUCUUGUGCAAUGGGGUAGCACUUUUAGUACUGUAAUGUAAUUUCAUUUUGUUAUCCUUUAAAUAUUUACAUAUUUUUUAAUAAUUUAAAGCUACUUUUUGCAACUUUAAUGUACCCAAGCAUUAUCGGCAGUCGCUUUAAACAUUAUGUUAAAUUUAUUGUAUUCCAAACUGAACUGGAAAAACUAAUUUUUAAGGCUAAGCCCCCCUUUGCUUUAAUCGGUGACAUCUCAUUUCUCAUUGUGUCCCCAGCCCAGCCUUAUAUGUACAUAUGUAUACUGAGCGCUGCCACAGCCUCUCUGCCACUGCCACAGCUUCUCUGCCUCCUAAAUAUCUUACAUGCUGCCGUGCCAUCCUCCACGUGCUGGGGCCAACCUCCUGCACCCACUGCUCUGCGUCUCUGCUUGCGCCACAUUAAAUGGCAAAAUUGUCAAAAUGCCGCAACAAAUGGCGACCGUGGCACGUCCGGUUAUUGUUGCUGUUGCUUUUUCCUUGUGUUUUCCCCGACAUUUUCGUUAUUUUUUUCGAAGGCUGAUGGCUCUUUGUUGUAGGUGUUUGCUCCCGGGCACUGUGGGGAAAUGGAGGAACCAACUGCAUCCAUGUGUGUCGUCCGUCGUCCGACUUUCGUUCCAGUUUCUUGCCUCCGGGUGCUGUUGUCCCCAUUGUCGUGUGUGCAACAGCAGAAUAUGUCGUCAACAUUUCUUUUUGUUGUCCUUUGUCUUCAGUCUUCAGGCAGCAUCUAUGUAUAUGUCAAAUUGCAUUUUGUAAUUUGUGCGCUAAAUUAAAAGCUGCUUUUGGGCAAAUUCCCGAUCGAUGUCAAGAUUUUUCGGCAUUGUUGGUCAUUUUACUUUGCAGUCCCGGUCCCAAUUAAAGUUUUCUUCUAUUUCUAGCUGAUUCUUCUAAUAAAAAACCCUAAAACCCCUGUUUUUAGAUGUAAUCUUAACUAAUUUUAUUGUUUUUAAGCGCUGACCGCAAUAAGAACAUUUCCCAAAUGUAUUCAAACUGUCGCAAAUACCUGCCUGCUUCCCAAGGACGUUCAUGUGAAUGAAAGUUGCUCGAAAUUAAACAGCCGCUAAAGGAAAAGUCUCUAUUUCAGCUGCUUUUUUUUAUUCCGCAUAUUAUUUGGUUGCAGCUGCAGCCGGGGCAGCAGCGCAAGUGUUCGAAUGCAACGGGGCAUGAAGUAACUACGACAGCAGUCAGCGGGAAGUAGGAGCAGCAACAAAUUCGACAGCAAACAGCGCGAAAAUAAAAGCUAAAAAAACGAGAGAACGAACAACAAGAAGGAAAAUAAAAAUAAAAAGGAAAAGGAAAAGGAAAACGACGAAAUGCCAGGGCAACAAAGUUGCAAGUUGAGUUCAACAAACAGCGCACAGCAGGCGGGCUGUGAAUGUAUAUGUCUGUAUGCAUCCUAAAUCCUAGUAUCCAAGUAUCUGCAGCUGCAGUCUCUGGCCCUACCCUACCUGUGGCGCACUGAAGAUAGAACUGGCCAUAGAGAUCCACAGAGAAGGAAAGGCAAAACUUGUUCAAGUGCUGUUGAGUUGCUCCUCUCUCUCUCUCUCUCUCUCUGUCUCUCUCUCUCUCUCUGUCUCUCUCCUACAGUUUUUUUACCCGUAAUUUUUCUUUUUCAUCCUUUUUGGAGCCAAGUUUAAACAACUGCAAGGGACAAGCCGUCAUCCAGCGGAUGCUUGGGGGUAAACUUUUUACUUAAAAUUCGACAGGCAGAAAUAAUAAUAAUAAUAUUGUGCUUAAGCAUCGGACCGGACCGUCUGACAUCCUUCUACUUCUCCUUCAUCCAAGUGCUGCUGCUGCUGUAAGUUCAAGACGAAAAGAAAACUCUUGCCAGCUGCUGGGGACAAUGGACAAUGGCAGCCAAUUAAUGCUUUUUGGGUGAGUCUUACAGAAAGGGAAGUACGACGAGUACUUGAACAGAUAGUAUUAGAGAUUCUUUUAUGCCUGACUAUAUUUUGUAUUUUUUGUAUUUCAGAGAUAGCAAUUUAUAAAUCAAUAAACCUAAGAUUACAGCAUUUGGUAUCUAUGUUAAUCUGUUUAUCAUUUUAGGCGAGAACAAAAUAUCUACAGAAUUAUUAUUC